rnacentral:rRNA from 1 species
UACGGAGGAUGCAAGCGUUAUCCGGAAUGAUUGGGCGUAAAGCGUGCGCAGGCGGCUUUGCAAGACAGAUGUGAAAUCCCCGGGCUCAACCUGGGAACUGCAUUUGUGACUGCAUAGCUAGAGUACGGAAGAGGCAAGUGGAAUUCCUGGUGUAGCGGUGGAAUGCGCAGAUAUCAGGAGGAACACCUAUAGCGAAGGCAGCUUGCUGGGACGUUACUGACGCUAAGGCGCGAAAGCGUGGGGAGCGAACAGG